rnacentral:lncRNA from 1 species
CAACAAGGUGACUGGUUGCCAGCCUGUAAAAUCUGGUAUCGUCCCUGCUGGAGCCAGAGCUUGACCUUAAGAAAAUUCCUGCCAGUUUCUCCGUGGGAGCGUGUCCCUGUGCUGCUGCAGAAGCCUGUCUGCCACAGAAGUGUUGGGCAAGUGGCUUUGUCCCUGGUGCGGGGCCGAGGUGUGGGUAUCUGCGUGCGUCUGUGGCUCUGUGUUUGUGCAGCACAAAGGCAGCACAUCAGCGUAUUUAUUUCAGGGAAAAUCUUUUUUUUUUUUUUUUUAAUAGUUUUUUUCCCCUUCCCUCAGCUUUCCCAAAUCCUGUCUGGUUUCUAUUUUGUCUCUGGGAAGGAGAAAGGAGGUCAAAUUAGGUGGAAAGGGCUAAACAAUUUUCCACUUUUUUUUUUUUUCCAGUGUGUAUUUUCCCUCUAAAAUUUCUUCAAAGUAGCAGCAAAGUCCAUGUGGUGUUUAAUGGGGCCUGGGACCCUCUGUUCCCAGCUGCGCUUAUCACCACAAAAAUCAGCUGGUCCCAUCUUUUUUCAGUAGUUCCCAUACACCAACAAUUAUUUUGGUAUGAAAAAAGAGCAGAGAACGACAUAAUUGAAUUGUUGUUUAGUGUUCUGGCCUCCAAAACAGUCACCUAAUUAUCAUUUCUCUGCAAGCAGCUUGUUUUCCAUAAAAUUUCUGGUUUUGUCCUUAACUAAAAUGAUAGGUUGUUUGUAGGGGACAGGAAAGCAAAUUGAUGGAAGCUGCGAGUGAACUUUCAAUUAAACACAACACCUCUCUAAAGCCAGCGCUAUUUAUGAUUAUGGUGUGACGGGAGGAGGGUGAAAUGGAUUUGAAGAUGUAACCUUGCAACCACUGCGGGUUCAUUAAAAUUAAAAUCCUGCGUAAAGUGUAAGAGAUGCCCUGUCAAUUGGCUUGGCUGUCUAAUUCUGCUCUCACCAUAGCAAGAUUGCCGUGCUGUAGCAGGUUUCUCUUAUUAAAAUCCAUGGGUCGGAGUCGAAAAGGAAGAAAUCCAGCCCACGCUGGUAGUUUACACAUCUCUCCCCACAAAGUGCAAGAGGGGACCUUGGAUUUGCUUCUCUUGCACACUCCAAGAUGAGC